rnacentral:misc_RNA from 1 species
GAUGAAGAACGCAGCGAAAUGCGAUAAGUAAUGUGAAUUGCAGAAUUCAGUGAAUCAUCGAAUCUUUGAACGCACAUUGCGCCCCCUGGUAUUCCGGGGGGCAUGCCUGUUCGAGCGUCAUUUCACCACUCAAGCCUCGCUUGGUAUUGGGCAACGCGGUCCGCCGCGUGCCUCAAAUCGACCGGCUGGGUCUUCUGUCCCCUAAGCGUUGUGGAAACUAUUCGCUAAAGGGUGUUCGGGAGGCUACGCCGUAAAACAACCCCAUUUCUAAGGUUGACCUCGGAUCAGGUAGGGAUACCAGCUGAACUUAAGCAUAUCAAUAAGCGGAGGA